rnacentral:rRNA from 1 species
CCUACGGGGUGCAGCAGUGGGGAAUAUUGGACAAUGGGCGAAAGCCUGAUCCAGCCAUGCCGCGUGUGUGAAGAAGGCCUUCGGGUUGUAAAGCACUUUCAGUGGGGAAGAAAGCCUUGGGGCUAAUACCCUCGAGGAAGGACAUCACCCACAGAAGAAGCACCGGCUAACUCCGUGCCAGCAGCCGCGGUAAUACGGAGGGUGCGAGCGUUAAUCGGAAUUACUGGGCGUAAAGCGCGCGUAGGCGGUCUGAUAAGCCGGUUGUGAAAGCCCCGGGCUCAACCUGGGAACGGCAUCCGGAACUGUCAGGCUAGAGUGCAGGAGAGGAAGGUAGAAUUCCCGGUGUAGCGGUGAAAUGCGUAGAGAUCGGGAGGAAUACCAGUGGCGAAGGCGGCCUUCUGGACUGACACUGACGCUGAGGUGCGAAAGCGUGGGUAGCAAUCAGGAUUAGAUACCCGGGUAGUC